UACGGAGGGGGGCUAGCGUUGUUCGGAAUUACUGGGCGUAAAGCGCACGUAGGCGGCGAUUUAAGUCAGAGGUGAAAGCCCGGGGCUCAACCCCGGAACUGCCUUUGAGACUGGAUUGCUAGAAUCAUGGAGAGGUGAGUGGAAUUCCGGAGUGUAGAGGUGAAAUUUCGUAGAUAUUCGGAAGAACACCAGUGGCGAAGGCGGCUCACUGGACAUGUAUUGACGCUGAGGUGCGAAAGGCGUGGGGAGCAAACAGG
rnacentral:rRNA from 1 species